UACGAAGGGGGCUAGCGUUGUUUCGGAAUUACUGGGCGUAAAGCGCGCGUAGGCGGAUAUUUAAGUCAGGGGUGAAAUCCCGGGGCUCAACCCUGGAACUGCCUUUUGAUACUGGAUAUCUGGAGUUCGGGAGAGGUGAGUGGAAUUCCGAGUGUAGAGGUGAAAUGCGUAGAGAUGUGGAGGAACACCAGUGGCGAAGGCGGCUCACUGGCCCGGUACUGACGCUGAGGUGCGAAAGCGUGGGGAGCAAACAGG
rnacentral:rRNA from 1 species